rnacentral:rRNA from 1 species
GUGCCAGCAGCCGCGGUAAUACGUAGGGUCCGAGCGUUGUCCGGAAUUAUUGGGCGUAAAGAGCUCGUAGGCGGCGUGUCGCGUCUGCUGUGAAAGACCGGGGCUUAACUCCGGUUCUGCAGUGGAUACGGGCAUGCUAGAGGUAGGUAGGGGAGACUGGAAUUCCUGGUGUAGCGGUGAAAUGCGCAGAUAUCAGGAGGAACACCGGUGGCGAAGGCGGGUCUCUGGGCCUUACCUGACGCUGAGGAGCGAAAGCAUGGGGAGCGAACAGGAUUAGAUACCCUGGUAGUCC